rnacentral:lncRNA from 1 species
GCAGCCCCAGAUCUUUUUCUCUUGCCCCCUCUCCACAUCUCCCUCUCCGUCGAUCUGGAACGGGGCCGAACGCCACCGUCGCCAUGACCACGGCGUAGAGGAGGCCACCUAGCUCCCCCUACCUCCUUGUCGAGUCCCUCCGCUCCGCCAUUGCCUCCCGCAUCACCUGCUACCGCUGGGUCAAGCCGGGAGCCGCUGUGCCGAGCGCCAUGAGCUCGUCUUCUUCCUCGACUCUGACGAGAUCCUCUGACGAAUGCGCCACCUCUGCUGCUACAAAUCUGUUGCCGGGCCUUUGUGUGCCUUCCCGGUGAGCCUCCCGGCCGAACCCCUCUCCUCUGCGUCCCUUGCCAAGCCCGUUACCGCUGCUGCCGAGCUCCGCGUCGCCGUCCCCCCUCGCGCCCUUCCUGCACGCCCGCGCGCGGCCUUGCCAUUGCUAACCCCGCCGGCGCGCCCUGCCCGCCGCGCCUGGAGCUUCGCUCCCACGCGUGCCCACGCGUACGAGCGCUCGUCCGCUCCGUGCGCGCUUCCCCCGUGCUCGCCAUCGCCGCCGCGACCCCCUGUUCGCCCGCGGCGCUGCGCCCUGCUCGACCUGCUGCUCCUGCCGGGCCACUGACGCCCGUAGCCGCCGCGCGCCACCCCGCACCCAACCCCGCCGUCGCGCCAUGGCCCAAGCUCUGCCGUGGCCGCCCCCUCGUUGCCACCGCCUGCUUACCGCUUCUCCUCCUGCACCGCCCGCGCUUUACCGUGGCUACCGUGCUGCCACCCCGCCUCGCUCCACCGCGGGCGCCUACCUCCGCCGCCUCCGCCGGCCGUGCCCCUGCUAGCCCCGCCACCGCCAGAGCCUCCGCCGGGGACCACCCUCGCCAGCUCCUCGUCGAGGCCAUGGCCUCCGUCGGCGCCCUCCAUCACGCCUGUGCGUGUUCGGGCGGACGCCCAAGCCCAGGCGCCCGCAUCCACCGCCCGGUAGCCUGCUGGGCCAAUGACUUGUGGGCCCAACGCCCUUAAAGAACAAACAAAAGAAUUUUAAAAAAAUAUAUAUUUAAAAAUAUUAAUUAAUUAAUUAGUUAAAAACAAUUAACUUAAUUAAUCCUGUUAAUUAACCUAAUUAACGUUUUAACUAAUUAAGCUGUUAAUUAGUUAAGCUCAGUCAAUGGCAGACAGGCCCCACUGCCCCAUUGACCCGUCAACCGAGUCAGAGUUGACUGUUGACUCCGCUGAUAUCAGCAUGACAUCAUGUUGGCGCAAUAAGUCCAUUUUUAAAUUAAAGAUAAUCCCAAAAAUUGUUUAAAUCUUUGGAAAUUCAUAUAAAAUAACCCGUAACUCGGAUGAAAAUGUUUUCUACAUGAAAGUUGCUCAAAACGAUGAGACGAAUCCGAAUAUGCGGUCCGUUCGUCCGCCACACAUCCCUAACAUAGCGAACAUCGAACCUUUCCCCUCUGGUUCGUCUGUCCGAAAAUGCCAAACUUCGGGAAAGCAUUCCCGGAUGUUAUCCCUUUCGCCGGUAACAUGUAGCACCGCGUUAGAACACGUCUAGCUCUGCCUGUUGUCCUGUUAUGCACUUGCUUGCUAUGUAUUUACUGUUUCUCCCCCCUCUUCUCUUCAGUAGACCCCGUGACGGCUGCCGAUGCCGUCGUGAUCGACUACGUCACCGACGACCCUCCUUCUCGUCUGAGCAACCAGGCAAGCCUCCCCUUUGAUCAUCUCGAU